UUUAUCCUUAUCCAUGAAGCUUAAAAAGUGAGUGACAAACAUUUGAAUGGCAUAUAAAAAAAAUCAUGUAAGAACUAAUUCAUGUGUGAGAAGAGUGGUCGGCAUUUAGGGAAGAGUCCAACUCGAUUUAGACUCUAGGUUUAAAUCCAAAUUCAAACCAUUUAAACUUAAAAUUUAAAUCAAUCAAAUCCUAAUCCAAAAGGGAUCAGAAGUGGAAAAUAAUCCUCUUCUACGUGUGAGAAAAAAUUGAUGCAAAAAUUUUUCUCGCAUGAGGAAAAAGUGGGCGCA
rnacentral:lncRNA from 1 species